CUACGGUCAGUUACUCGUGUCUGGCCGGACUGCCGUUUUACGGAGGAAGGCGGGGAUGACGUCAAGUCUGCAUGGCUCUUACGCCUGGGGCGACACACACGCUACAAUGCCGUCGACAAUGCGCAGCUACUGCGUAAGCAGAUGCUAAUCGCCAAACGACGGCCCAGUGCAGAUUGGGGGCUGAAACUCGCCCCCAUGAAGGCGGAGUUGCUAGUAACCGCGUAUCAGCCAUGGCGCGGUGAAUACGUACCCGGGCCUU
rnacentral:rRNA from 1 species